UACGUAGGGUGCGAGCGUUGUCCGGAAUUACUGGGCGUAAAGAGCUCGUAGGUGGUUUGUCGCGUUGUCCGUGAAAACUCACAACUCAAUUGUGGGCGUGCGGGCGAUACGGGCAGACUGGAGUACUGCAGGGGAGACUGGAAUUCCUGGUGUAGCGGUGGAAUGCGCAGAUAUCAGGAGGAACACCAGCGGCGAAGGCGGCGCUCUGGGCCGGUGACUGACACUGAGGAGCGAAAGCGUGGGUAGCAAACAGG
rnacentral:rRNA from 1 species